CUCAGUCUAUUAAGCGUCUGACUGGCUCAGGUCAUGAUCUCCUGGUUUGUGAGAUUGAGCCCCGCAUUGAGCUCACUGCUGUCAGUGCAGAGCCCGCUUGGGAUCCUCUGUCGCCCGCCCCCCCAUCCUCUCCUGCUUACAUGUGCACACUUUCUCUCAAAAAUAAACAUUAAACAAGUGUAUGGUCAUAAAUUCCUACUAAAAUGGUGAUUAGUUUUAUUAGAUAUAUUUUUCUAUAAUUCAUAAAUUUGGUACAGCAUUACUCCACAGCUAAUAACUUUAUUACUUUUUCAUUAGAAAAGUGAUUAUUUACUUCAAAGUGUACCUUAAUUAAUUGAUUUAUAUUAUCCCUCAUUUCAGAAAGAAUUCCAAGUGGCUUACAGGAAAUGUUACAAUGAGAUAAAUAAAAUACAAACAUGAAUGGAAAAGAGACAGGAAAAGAAGAUGAAGUACAAGGAAAAGAAGCUGUAAUGCACGUAGAAUAAUCUACAUAUAAAUUUAAGGCCUCUUGCAAAUGAAAGUCUUCAGAGCUCUACAGUUCUUUAUGAAAGAAUUAAAGGCAUACAAUGCGUACGAAGAAAGUUUCUGAGAUAAGAAACUACAGCAAAAAAGAGAGUGCUACAGGUUUGAGGCUGCUGGAGCUCACUUUAAUGCUUAAGGAAUUUCUGAUUUGCUUUAUGAAACACAUAGAAGAAAUCGAAGGUGAUUUCUCUCUUUUCCUCCAUCACCUGUGUCAUAUCCUAUUGGCUAGAAGCAAGCCACGGGUUCCAUUCACAUUCAGGGAGAGGAAGAAAAAGGCAGUUGCCUGA
rnacentral:lncRNA from 1 species